rnacentral:rRNA from 1 species
GAUGAACGCUGGCGGCGUGCCUAAUACAUGCAAGUCGAGCGAACAGAUGAGGAGCUUGCUCCUCUGACGUUAGCGGCGGACGGGUGAGCAACACGUGGAUAACCUACCUAUAAGACUGGGAUAACUUCGGGAAACCGGAGCUAAUACCGGAUAAUAUAUUGAACCGCAGGGUUCAAUAGUGAAAGACGGUUUUGCUGUCACUUAUAGAUGGAUCCGCGCCGCAUUAGCUAGUUGGUAAGUUAACGGCUUACCAAGGCAACGAUGCGUAGCCGACCUGAGAGGCUGAUCGGCCACACUGGAACUGAGACACGCUCCAUACUCCUACGGGAGGCAGCAGUAGGGAAUCUUCCGCAAUGGGCGAAAGCCUGACGGAGCAACGCCGCGUGAGUGAUGAAGGUCUUCGGAUCGUAAAACUCUGUUAUUAGGGAAGAACAAAUGUGUAAGUAACUAUGCACGUCUUGACGGUACCUAAUCAGAAAGCCACGGCUAACUACGUG